GUUCGCUGCCGCAUAGGCAGCUCAGAAA
rfam:Physcomitrella patens subsp. patens PHYPAscaffold_11893 genomic scaffold, whole genome shotgun sequence.